GACGAAAGCUGGCGGCGUGCUUAACACAUGCAAGUCGAACGAAGAGCGAUGGAAGCUUGCUUCUAUCAAUCUAGUGGCGAACGGGUGAGUAACGCGUAAUCAACCUGCCCUUCAGAGGGGGACAACAGUUGGAAACGACUGCUAAUACCGCAUACGAUCUAAUUCUCGGCAUCGAGGAUAGAUGAAAGGUGGCCUCUACAUGUAAGCUAUCACUGAAGGAGGGGAUUGCGUCUGAUUAGCUAGUUGGAGGGGUAACGGCCCACCAAGGCGAUGAUCAGUAGCCGGUCUGAGAGGAUGAACGGCCACAUUGGGACUGAGACACGGCCCAGACUUCUACGGGAGGCAGCAGUGGGGAAUCUUCCGCAAUGGACGAAAGUCUGACGGAGCAACGCCGCGUGAGUGAUGACCGGCUUCGGGUUGUAAAGCUCUGUUAAUCGGGACGAAAGGCCUUCUUGCGAAUAGUGAGAAGGA
rnacentral:rRNA from 1 species